CAAUCAAGAUGAAACGUCGAAAUCAAGCAUAGUUCACACUGAAACUAUUGUGUUGACAAACAUGCAUCUAAUGUCUUUCGCUCCUAUCUGACUCGACUU
rnacentral:snoRNA from 1 species